rnacentral:rRNA from 1 species
AUGAUUGACAAGUUGGGUCAUCAUGAGGUGGUAGAUCCUAAUUGGAAAUUUGAUGCUAAAAUCUCACGGUCUGAAUUAGUCAAGUUGAUUGUUGUGAAUGAAUUGUCGUUCUCUCUCGUGGAGUACAAACCAUUUUGGGACUUUGCUGCUUCCUUAAAUCCGUGGUUCAGAGUGCCCUGUAGAACAACCGUCAAAGAUGAUUGCAUUGGAAAUUUUAAGAGAAACAAACUAAAAAUGCAACAAUAUUUUGUGAAGUCUACUAGUAGAGUAUCUUUGACAACAGAUAUGUGGACGUCAAACCAAAAAUUGGGUUAUCUUUGCAUCACCUGCCACUUGAUUGAUUCAGAUUGGAAAAUUCAAAAAUUUGUCAUAAGAUUCUUCAUGAUGCAGACACCUCACAAUGCUAUGAACAUGUAUGGUGUGAUACUAAGAGGAUAA